GCCCCAUCGUCUAGCGGCCUAGGACGCCGGCCUUUCAAGCCGGUAACACGGAUUCGAAUUCCGUUGGGGGCACCA
rnacentral:tRNA from 1 species